rnacentral:misc_RNA from 1 species
AGUCAUCAACCCCUUCCGUUUCGUGCGGGAAGGGUUGGAUGUGGGGGCUCUGCUGCCGUGAGGCGGCUCCCCUCAAAUGCAUCGGUUGGGCCUGCGGGUCGAACUCGACUGGGCGUUGUACCAUCCUCGCUCGACAGAGAUGUUCCCCUUCUGCGCCCUCCCUCGACCUGCCUAUCAGAGUGGCGGUCAAGCAACAAACUUUGAA